UUAACAUAGAGAAUAGAUAAAGGAAAACCUAAUGGUGUGUUCCAAUCUUAACCUCUGUUUCUCUCUCUCGCCGUCGUGAAUCGCUCCGGGGUUUCCAGCCACCAGAAUGCUCCUGCAUCUUCGUGAGUCCUCCGUCUCCGUCUAUUCUCCAUCGUGAGUCCUCUCCUUCGAAUGCUCCUGCACCUUCGUGAAUCAUCUCCGUCAAGCGCUUCGGCAACAUCGUGAAUCAUCGUUAUCGACUGUGUCACAUCCAUUUCGCUCAUCGGGUUGUUUCACUUUCUAUUGCGCGUUUUGUUACUCGGAUUAUAGUGUAAAUACUUAUUCUUCUCCCCUACUUCACUCCAUUUUAACCCUGGGUUCUUUGUUUCAGAGUUGAUAAAUAGUAGAUUCGAUGUUGAUGGUGAUGAGGUUAUCUAGACGAAAUAGAGGACGGAAGGAAAAGAUGAUUGAAGACUUGAUCCUUACAUAAUCCAAUUGGGAGAUGACAAGAGGUUAAACCCAAAGAUUUUAAUUUUUUGGUUAAUAUAGUCAGCAUCUGCUAGGGACUCGAGAAAACAUGUUCAAGCAUCGGUUGUUCACAGAAAUGGUUCUGCUGUGCCGUCUGCGUCUUCUUCUAGUUACCGUAGCUCGUUGGAAGUUACACCAGAAAAUGAUGUAAAUCCUAGAAGUUCCUUAGGAGAGUCGAGCUGCAAGUCGAAAUCUUCGAGAGAGUUAGUCAAGGUUCUCGAUCGUAUGUGGCGUCUUGAAGAACAGCAGGCAUCAAAUAUAGCAACAGCGAAAGCGCUGAUAAAAGAACUAGAUUCUUCUCAAGCACAAGAAAAAGAGUUAGUACAUGAAAAGAAAAUGAAUAGGCAGAUAAUGGAGAGCUUAAUGAAGCAAAUAACAGAAGACAGACGUGUUAACGAAAUCAAAGACCCUCUUGUUGCUGCUUCAAUAGUUCAUGGUCAUGGCUGUACAUACAAAAUAUCGUCUUAUUACUUACUCGGCGGAGAUUGUAGAUGGACAGCCUAUUUUUGUUUCGUUGAAUUGUAGUCCGGCAAAGGCGUUGAGGAAAGAGCCAGAGGGUCAUUCUUUUCAUUCUGCUGCACUUAAACUUCUCGGUGUUAAGAAAGAAGAGAUAAAGGAUGAUGGUAAUAAGAAAGUUGUUGAUGAUAAGGAUCAGGCGUAUUUGCCGUCAGAUUCUUAUAGUAGUAAGAGUAAGAAAAAGAAAUCAGGUGAAGAGCAGGAGCAGGAUCAUUAUGCAUUGUUGGGUAUGAGUCAUCUCAGGUAUCUUGCAACGGAGGAUCAGAUUCGGAAAAGCUAUCGCGAGACUGCGUUGUGGUUUCAUCCGGAUAAACAGGCUGCUCUUCUUCUUAAUGAGAAGACUGAUUUUCUAUCUCUCUUUUUGUUCAUCCCCUGUUUAGAAUUUGUUUGAAUAGUAAUUAGUUUACAACUUCCUUCAUAGUAAACAUUUGUCAAUUAGCAAUGUUAAUUUUUGCUUGCAUUAUCUGUUAUUGUGACAAAAUGUAAGCAACCUUUUUCUUGGUCAUUCAAUGCAUAUGAAUUGUUAUUAAGAAGCCAUGGUUACCAUGUGAACCGUGAAUGGUAUACUUGGAUACAGAUCCUUAUUUCCGUUAGAUGGCAUGUGAAGCAUCCUGUGAAGUUUUAAUUCUAAAUUUAGAAGAAAAAAUGCUAUGAUUUAUUGUAUGCAAUUUUUCUUGACAUGAUCAAAUCCUAAUUAUGUAAGUUUCUCUUGUUUAUGGUAUGGUGCCUAAAUUGUAAUAAUUGUUGAUGAAUAGAACAAGUGGAUGUGUACAGAAGUUAUCAUGUUUUAAAGACAAGGAAGCUUCAAGAGGGAGUGGUAAAGUGACCAAGACGCUCAUAUUAUUGGACGAUAAAGAUCUUUCUCACAUAUUAUGGUGGAAGGAGAAGUUGCAGAUGUGCAAAAAGGCCAUCACAACAAAUCUAAUUGAAAGGCUUGAAUAUUCAAAUUUGCUUGGCUUGAAUUCUAACUUGAAAUAUGGAAGAUUGAACUUCAAUCAUUGAAGCAAUAGUUCAAGAUGGCUCUGCAAAUGGUUUUAUCUCCACCAUUGGUGUUCUCAAUCUUAAUUUAGAUUGUUUUAUCUUUUUAAUUUGGUUGGACAAAUGAUUAUUAGUAGUUUGGUGGUUGAGUCAUUUAAUGAUGUGACUAUGUAAGCAUUUGUUCCUAAUAAUUUUGUAGCAAUUUUUAUAGUAACUUGUUCUA